rnacentral:lncRNA from 1 species
AGCUCUUGAGAUUGUUAAACUCUUGGUUGAUGCUGGAGCUGAUACUGAUUGUCUUGAUGAGAUAAUUAAGCAGAAAUUAUUGGUGGCUAAUUCGAAAGAAUUAUUAGGAGGUGAGAAGAAAGAAUAUGCUGUUGAUAUAUCAUUGCCUGAUAUAAAUAGUGGUGCUUUAGGAACAGAUGAGUUUAGAAUGUAUAGUUUCAAGGUGAAGACUUGUUCAAGGGGUUACUCUCAUGAUUGGACUGUGUGUCCAUUUGUUCAUCCAGGGGAGAAUGCUAGAAGGAGAGAUCCAAGGAAGUAUCCUUAUAGUUGUGUUCCAUGCCCCGAGUUUCGCAAAGGGACAUGCCAGAAGAAAGAUUCAUGUGAGUAUUCACAUGGUGUCUUUGAGUCUUUGCUUCAUCCUUCACAAUAUAGAACAAGGCUUUGUAAAGAUGAGCUUAAGUGUUCUAGGAAAGUGUGUUUCUUUGCACAUAAACCUGAAGAGUUGCGCCCGUUGUAUGCUUCUACUGGUUCAGCAAUGCCUUCACAAGAAUCCUUACCGGUUUCAAAUGUUUCAACACCAGUUAUGUCUCCCUUGGUAGCUGGUUCGUCUCUUAAGAGUGGAAACUUGUGGCAGAAUAAAAUCAAUCAAUCUCCACCUUCAUUGCAACUUCCACGUAGCCUCCAGCUGAAAAAUACUUCGAGUGCAAAGGAUUUGUAUCAGGAAAUGGCACUUCUUGAUAUCGAAAGAGCUAUUAGUCAACAACAGCAGCAGCAGUUGAUUGAAGAAAUUCUUUCAAUGCAACCUUCAACUCCUACUCAAUUUCAAUCGAUGAGUAGGCUUCAGAUGAACCAAAACAGGAACAAUAUUCAAGCAAGUUAUCCAUUCAACAACAUUGUUUCCUCUCCUAUGAGAAAAUCAUCACCAUCUGGAUUUAACUCAUCAGCUGCUGUGGCUACAGCAGUGAUGAACUCAAGAUCAUCAGCCUUUGCAACACGAAGCCAAAGUUUUAUGGAUCGCGGUGCGGCGAGACACCAUCUUGGUGCUUCCAAACCCAAUGGCAGGAUGAACUCCGAACAAUGGGAUGAUGUGAACAAGUUCCAAAAAUCUGUUUCUUUUGGGUCGAGAUAUAAUGGGGUAGCUGCCCCACCCUUGGCGCGCCAGCCAGAAUAUGCUGAACCGGAUAUCUCGUGGGUUCAUUCACUUGUUAAAGACGUUUCUUCUGAAAGUUCUGAGAUGUUUGGUUCUAAGAAGCAACAUUAUGAUCUCUAUAAACAAAUGUUACCACCAUGGGCAGAGCAGAUUGUAGCAUAAAGCGUCAUUAUUAUCUAUUUAUUUAUUUAUUUAUUAAUUGAAUUGUUGUUAGCAUAUGGAAAUUACAUAGACAAAGUCUUUGAUCGGUACUCCCUUCGUCUCACAACGAGUAACCCAUUUGUAAAAUAACAAUGUCAUCAAAAUGAAUGACCUUUUUCAAUUUUUAAUGCAAUAUUAAUUAUUUUUCCAAUUAUACUCUCUAAUUAAUUUUUUUUUUGAAUUACUCUCAAUUCGAUAUCGGAAAUGCUGAAUCUAGCGACAAAAAUUUCACGAACUAUUCUGCGAAUGAGUUGUCAAACAUUAAUUAAUGUUUCACUUAAUUACUUGAUUGGUCACAUUCAUAAUUUCNNNNNNNNNNNNNNNNNNNNNNNNNNNNNNNNNNNNNNNNNNNNNNNNNNNNNNNNNNNNNNNNNNNNNNNNNNNNNNNNNNNNNNNNNNNNNNNNNNNNNNNNNNNNNNNNNNNNNNNNNNNNNNNNNNNNNNNNNNNNNNNNNNNNNNNNNNNNNNNNNNNNNNNNNNNNNNNNNNNNNNNNNNNNNNNNNNNNNNNNNNNNNNNNNNNNNNNNNNNNNNNNNNNNNNNNNNNNNNNNNNNNNNNNNNNNNNNNNNNNNNNNNNNNNNNNNNNNNNNNNNNNNNNNNNNNNNNNNNNNNNNNNNNNNNNNNNNNNNNNNNNNNNNNNNNNNNNNNNNNNNNNNNNNNNNNNNNNNNNNNNNNNNNNNNNNNNNNNNNNNNNNNNNNNNNNNNNNNNNNNNNNNNNNNNNNNNNNNNNNNNNNNNNNNNNNNNNNNNNNNNNNNNNNNNNNNNNNNNNNNNNNNNUCGGUACUCCCUUCGUCUCACAACGAGUAACCCAUUUGUAAAAAAACAAUGUCAUCAAAAUGAAUGACCUUUUUCAAUUUUUAAUGCAAUAUUAAUUAUUUUUUCCAAUUAUACUCUCUAAUUAUAUAUUUUUUUUAAUUACUCUCAAUUCGAUAUCGGAAAUGCUGAAUCUAGCGACAAAAAUUUCACGAACUAUUCUGCGAAUGAGUUGUCAAACAUUAAUUAAUGUUUCACUUAAUUACUUGAUUGGUCACAUUCAUAAUUUCCCAACGUGGUAUUCAAACUAGCGUAAUACUUAUAGUAUAGUAGUACUAGUUAGUCUCAACCCAUAAAAAUUUACAAAUGGAAAAGAUUUUUUUUUAAUUUAUGUUUUAAGUAAUAUUUUUAAAAUAAUUUAGUAGCAAGAAUUUUAGUGUUUAAAAUAAAUAAGUAAAGUCCCCGUGACAUUAACUCAGUUGUUGGUAGGGACAUCGCACUAUAUGUGCAAGAGCUCGGGUUCGAACCCGUAACACUCCACUUAUUCACCUUUAACAUAAAUUUUUUAGCCAUUAGGCUACUUGACCAAAAUAAUAAUAAGUAAGUAAAAAUGUCUAAGUUUAAAUUCUGACUCUUACAUAUUGCAAAAUUUAAAAGUUUAAAUUAUAUUUUUUAUCUUUUAAGUUUAUUUUAGGUUUCAUUUUGAUCCAAUUAUACUUUGGUUUAUUAACUUGUAAAGUUAUGAAUGUUGGACACUUGAUCUUUUAAGUUAUAAACUCUAGACAAUUUUUUUCUCCUUGUUCAAUUACUUGUAGGUUGAUGGCUAAAUAUCAAACAAGGUUUGAAAAAGGAUGUGGUUUUGAGAACAUUAUCACACCUAAAAUUAGAAAGGUGCUUGAUACUACAAUGCAAGAUGGAAGAAUGUUUGUACUCACAUAUGCAGGUGAUGAUGAGUUUGAAGUGAAAGAUGGAUAUACAUCCCAUGCCAUUGUGAUCUAGAAUAUGUGGUUGUGAUUAUUGGAGGGUGGUUUAUUGCUUAUGUUAUAAUGAGAUUAUACAUCCCAUGCCUGAGUUGGACAUAAAAAAUAGAGGCAGUUAUGGUACAGAAGGAUGGCUUCAAUUGGGGAAAAGAUGCAACUGAUUUUAAUCCAUACCGAUUUCCUGUCAAAUAUUACAAAAGGAUCAGGUACUGGCCGCGACCGCGAUGCAUAGCUUGCAGGUCUUGUAACCUAUGUGGAACCUCGAGAUUUGUAACUUAACUAUGUUUUAGUCCUUCGCUGUGGAUUAAUAUAUAAUGUCUUCUGUUAAUCUUUCAAUAUUGAUAUUUCUUAUAGGUUCUGAAUAAAAACUUUAUUAUGGAAUCAGCUCGUUUGUACUUAACGACCCUAGCAAAAAUGCAGCAUUUCUUCCUUUUGGAUCCUGUUGGUUAGAAAUUUGUUAUCCGAGUUGUUGCCACAUUGCUGGCAUCAUUGCUCAAGAUAUACGAGGUUCGUCCUGUGAUGUGAAUUAUUAUUCUUGUUCUUGAUACUUCUGUUACAAGAGAAAGACAUGAAAACAAUCUGAAUCAUAAAAUUGCAGAACUACAAAAUGUUUAGUCUGUGAAUGAAAAGGUGACACUUUGAGCAUGAUGUGAAAAGAGUGGCCUGUGAUUUUAAGAAGUUUAUGUUUCUUCUAUACAAUAGCAAAGUGAAUAGAUAUGAAUAGACUGAAUUAAAAUUUGAUGACUAUAAAUUACAAGUAUUUUCAUCAAUUUAUUUAUUUAUUUUUAUAAGAUUUUUCAUCAAUUUAUUAUUCCAUAAUUCCGUGGAUGUUACAACUUACAAGUUACAACAGUAAUAUUUUUUUUUUUGUAAUCAGGAUAUAAUGUGCAUUACUUAAUAAAAAAUUAAUAUAUAAAUUUCGGUAACAACUGAUGAUAGUUUUAUAUACAAAUAAGGCUCAAGACAGGCGCAUGAGUGUCAAUUUCCAUCCGUUAACAAAAAAUAUCGUGGAGAUUAUCUAUUUGGAGCUUCGAAGUCGGGAAUUUUUUUCCUGCCGGAACUGGGAUGGGAUGGAGGAAAUAUUCCCCAAAAACAUUUUAGGGCGGGGAUCAGAGAAGUACUCUCUGCCACCGCAGAUUCCUUGACCCCGUCCAUAUUAUUUAAGUUAUAUAUCUAUACCUACAUAUAAAGAGGAUACAAAAAAUUUUGGUGUAGACUUUUUUUUUUAGCAGCAAAAAUCUUUUAUUAAUAAACUCACCCUAACAUUUGUCUUCUUUUUUUUUUUACAAAAAUUUGCAUAAUAGAAAAUAUGGAUCACACAGACAGGUGCGGAAUGCGCCCUGUCUGGCCGUUAGUAAUAUAUAAAAUAAUUAUAAUUAUACUUCCUCCUUUUUUUAUUGUCCAUUUACGUUGGAUUUAGCGUUUCUAUUUAACUGUCCAUUUGAUAUUUUAAGGGUACGAUUUGUCAAUUACUCUUAUCUUUUUCAAUAAAACUAAUUAAUGCUAUAUAUUUGAAAAACUAAUUUUUUUUUUUGGUAUAUGACAUGUUAAUUUUUUUUUGUACAUAAUAUAUUAAAUUUAUUGGAAAGAGAAAGUAUAUGCAAAAAAAAAUAAGAAUUUAUUGGUGGAUUAUUUAGGAUAUAAUAGUAAGAUAAGGUGCAAAAAUACACUUUCUUAAUUUUGUAUAACUAUUCUAAAUCGAUAGUUAAAUAAAACGGAGGAAGUAUAACUUUAGAUGUUUUUUUAUAAUUAUUUUUUAUAAAAAAAAUAGUUAAUAUGUCAGAAAACAAGAACAUACAUAGUGUACACACCAUCUACUCCUUUUAUUUUCUUUGUUAUUGAUGCCGAAAAUAUUUUUAUUUUAAAAAAAAAUUAAAGACGCAAGAUACAUAUAUUGUUUUAGAAAAAGGAGAAAAAAAAGUUAUUAGUGUCAUGCUUUUGAUAAAAAAAAAAAGUUUAGAAAUUUUGUUAAUUUUUCGAUAUUCGUAGAUCUCUAUGAGUACUGUGAGGAUCUGUGUCGAUAGGGAAGAAUAUUUCCCCGUAGCGGGGAUGGAGAACGAAUUUGGAGACAAGACAAGGGGUGGGGAAACAUUUCCACACAUUCUAUGCCCAGCUGACAUCCCUAUGCUCAUAUGGUGACCGACUCAUAACCAAUCUUAAAGAAAUCAUCUUCUUCAACAUCAUCCUAACUCAAAAAAAUUGUUUGUGAGAAGGACCGGUAAAAAAAAAAAGAAUUUACUCACUUUAGAAGAGUCAAAUUCUUUUUUAUAUUUUUUGCUCUCCGUCAAAUUCUUUAUUUUUUUAUUUUUGUUUGGUCAAGUAGUCAAAUGACUAGAAUUUCACCCUUAUAGAUGAAUAAUAAAUGGAGUGAUUAAGAUUCAAACUUUAACUUCUACAUGUAAAAUGUAAUCUCCUACCGACUUAUAUAAGUUCUUUGCAACAACUAUUUCUUGUUAUAUGAUUGCUAUUUGUUUUAUUAGGCGUGGCUGAUGUAGCAUUGGCCCAUAUUAAUUUUUGAAGGCCCAUAUUGAUUUUUGAAGCCCAAAUAACUAGAUCAAACCCUAGCAUCUAAUAAAACACCACUAUAUAAACAACUAAACACACAAUUUGCAGCUGAAUUCAUUCGGAAACCCUAAAUCGUGUGCCUCCACAAUUACCACAAUUCACCAGCAACAAUGAGUUCCGGCGAAUUGGGCUGCAUCUACGCCACUUUGAUUCUUCACGAUGAUGGAAUCCCAAUCACCGUUAGUCUAUUUUCUCUCUUCAAUUCUUUUUCUUUUCGAUAAUCUUCAAAUUGUUCAUAGAUCUCAAUUUUCAUUUUUAUUGUUUCUGUAGGCGGAGAAAAUCAGCACUUUGUUGAAGGCUGCUAAUGUCACCGUUGAAUCCUACUGGCCAAGCUUAUUCGCUAAGCUUGCUCAGAGCAAGAACGUUGAUGAUCUCGUUUUGAACUCUGGCGCUGCCGGUGGUGCCGCUGUUGUCUCAUCCGCACCUGCUGCUGGUGGUGGUGCCGCAGCAGCAGCCGCACCUGCCGUUGAGGAGAAGAAGGUACUAAUUUUAGUUCUUUUUUAUUUUGUAUUUUAUUGUUUUAUGAUAUUUUACUGAUCGAUAAAUUUGCCAAAUAAUAUUGAAAUUGAAAACGGAUUUAGUAUAAAGUUGAUUGAACAAUCUGUUAAGAUGUGAUUAAUUUGAAUAUCCAAGACACAUUAAGAUAGUACGCAGUAUUUAUUUAUAAGGUUCAAUAUGUUUAGAUGGUUAAUUUGAAUAUAAUGUAGUAUUACAUGAAUAAUAAGACAGUGUAUUUAAAAGGUUUGAAAUUCUAUAAGUAUUGUUUAUGUUGCUGGGAUUUAUUACUGGCUUGAAUGUUUUGAACGAUGUCUGAUAUUGACCAUUUUGUAGAACAUGCAAAUAGGUUUAUUUCUCAUUACUUCCAUGUAAAUAAUUUUCCUUCAUUUGCUGCAAUCAACAUUUGAAUAUUAAUUAAAGAAAAUUGUUCUUCCACUUAGAAGAUUACACAAUGAAUGGUAGGUUAACGGGUAACAAGCUGGGCCUUUAACCCUUUUUUUAAUGGCAAUAUCAAUCCUCUUAAAACCAACCCGCCUACCCUUUCUGCUCGUUGUUUUGGUCAACCAUUCACUAUCAUUGUUGACUACUACGUUGAACUAUGCUCUUAAUGUGAUAUUUUAAAUAUAUCGUAUCAUGUGUUUUGUUUCAUUGUGAUUCUAGAUUUGAUCUAUCAUUUUUGCAUAACUCUUAUGAUUAUAAUUAUAUACACCUUUGGUACUUCAUUCUUUCUAAAAGUUGAUAAAUUAUUGUAGUUUGCUUGAUGUAGUGCAUUAUCCCCAAUGCACAAAUUUAGGUUACUGCUUAAAUUUAUGUUGUACACGGAACUAAGUGCACUUCAUAUGUCUUUGCAGGAAGAAGCUAAGGAAGAAAGUGACGAUGACAUGGGCUUUAGUCUGUUUGAUUAAGUUUAUAAUUAUAGUUUCUCUUAGUUUGACUAGGACUCUUAUCAAGGAGUGGCUGGAUCCGAAACUUGUUUUGUUUUAUAAAUUGUUAAUCUGAGUUUUAAGAAUUUACUAUCGCUUUUUAUUGUUGAAUUUUGGUGGAUUUUUUUGAUAUAUUUGUGACAAUCGAAUAUCUGAAUGAGAUGUUUAUUUUCUUGUUAUAUAUGAAUUGGAUGUUUAUCUUUUAACUAAUUUUUUUAGUUUUACUUUGGUCUCCUAUAUUAUGAAUGUUCCAUUGAGUCUUUUAACUAAGGUUUUGUUUUGGUCCUUCUCCUAAAGUAUAUUUCCGUCAACUGAAGUGGUAUUUUCUGUCUGUUUUAUUUAAACCAAAAUGUUUGUAGUGUCAAACACUAUUCUAAAUAAAAUAAGGCGGAGAACUGUUGUUCUUUGGAGUGGCGGAGUGCGGGGGUUGUUCCCAUCAUUUAAGGGGGACUGAGUUUUCCGAAUGAUAACUUUUUCUUUCUUUGGAAAAACCAAGUCAAAUAUCAUAUUGACUUUCUCUCUCCCAACUUCUAUUGCUGCACAUUGUGGCAAUUUUCAUAUUCUUUCUUAUAUUCUUCUUCAUCAACAUCUUCAACAUAACUCAUAUUCUUCUCUUUUUUUUGUUUUGAGAGAGGAGGGACGAAAACCAAAAUGAAUUGGACAUGCACGGACUAUUUUAAAAAAUAAUGGGAACAUGCAGGGACUAAAACCAAAAAAAUGGGAAUAUACAGGGACCAAUGUGAGAUUUAAGUUUUUUUUUUUUAAACCAAUCAAAACUCAUUUCCAUUCUUUCUCAUCUUCCAAUCUCAAAUCCAAAACUCAAAACAAUGAUGUUUGAUUAUUCUUCCUUUGAUUCAAAUCCAAUUUUAGAUCUAAAACUAAUUUUAAAGCCAUCAUCUCAUGUAUAAACCAAUUUAACCUAUUAGAAGUACACACUCAGAACAAGCAAACAAAAAAAACCCAACAAAUUCAAUUUUACAAAUAUUAAAAAUAUAUUUAACCCUAAAUUAUAUUACCUCCAAAAAUUCCUUUAUCCGAAGUCAUAAAUUUUUUUCUUUUUUGAGGUACAAAAUAAAUUCCUUGUUGAAACUCUAAACACAAACUUUUAGAAAUUUUUAAUAAAUAGAUUUAGUGAAUUAUUAAUUAAUCGUCAUUGUAAUUUUUUUUUUGUUCAGUGUUAUUUUCGAUCGUUAAGGAUAUUAUUCUCGUUAUGUUUUCUUGUGAAAAAUUUGAAGUUAAGUUUAUUAGGAGACAAGUGAAUUUGGUUGCUCAUACGCUAGCUAGGGCGGCCAAUUCUUAGACUAGUUUCCAUAUAUUUGAGAUUGUUCCUUCAUGUAUUGAACUUUUAGUGAUUAAUGAAAUGCAAUAAAUUUGUUUCGUUCAAAAAAAUAGUACGAAGUUGUUUGUUUUAAGUUCUCAUUUUAAUAUUAUUAUAUGAAUCAAAUUUGACGGAAUCAAACAUGUUUUAAAUUAUGAAAAAAGAUAACAUGUGUUUUUAGGAUAUAUGUUAAAACACUCGAUAUAAAAAAUUUACCUUAAAAAUAGGGCAGUCAAUUUUUGUAUAGUCAACAAGAUACUCCUUAACCUUAAUGAGCCCUUAAAUCACAUGUUACCAACACCCGUAAAAUAUUUCUAAACCAGAGUAUCUAUUUUUUAUUUUUUUUUUGGUACAACAAGAGUAUCCUAUUUAGUACACUAGUAUUUACUACCAGUCUACCACUAUAAUACAAGAGUGAAGUCAAGAACAAGGAGCGCGUGCGAACAUAUUGCAUUGAAAGACACCAACGUAGGAAUAUGAAGAAACAAUAAUUAAGAAAAACUUUGUGGGUCCAACUCUAGUUUGAAUAAUUGACUUUGAUCAGAUAAAAGUAUGAGUCAACAAUGAUUGAGUAGGAUUUAAGAAACAACAACGAAGAAAACUAACACUUUCCUCUCUUGUUCUUCUUUUUGUGUCAUAUCCAUCCACUACAAGUACAACCUUCUCACACAAUAAAAAACACAACACUUCCUCCAAUUCUCACUCACCUUCUUCACACUCAAAACCUUCUCAAUUUUCCUCUCUUAAACACAAAAUCCACUCAUGGAAAACAAAAUCCAAAACUCAGUUUUACUUGAGUUAUCAGCAACAGAUGAUAUUGAAGCAUUCAAAAGGGAAGUGGAAGAAAAGGGUUGUGAUGUAAAUGAAGCAGGAUUUUGGUAUUGUAGAAAAUUAGGAUCUAAGAAGAUGUGUUAUGAAAAGAGAACACCCCUUAUGGUUGCUUCUUUGUUUGGAAGCAAAAGGGUGGUCAAAUAUAUCAUUCAAUCAAACAUGGUUGAUGUUAGCAUGCCAAUUGGUUGUGAAAAUGUCACCGCGUUACAUUGUGCUGUUUCCGGUGGCUCUGAAUCCACUCUUGAGAUUGUUAAGCUCUUGGUUGAUGCUGGAGCAGAUAUUGAUUGUCUUGAUGAGAUAAUUAAACAGAAAUUUUCAGUUCUUAAUUCAAAAGAAUCAUUAGAAAGUGAGAAGAAAGAGUAUCCUGUUGAUAUAUCAUUGCCUGAUAUAAAUAGUGGUGCUUUCGGAACAGAUGAGUUUAGAAUGUAUGGUUUCAAGGUGAAGACUUGUUCAAGGGGUUACUCUCAUGAUUGGACUGUGUGUCCAUUUGUUCAUCCAGGGGAGAAUGCUAGAAGGAGAGAUCCAAGGA